rnacentral:lncRNA from 1 species
UUUAUCUUACGCCUCCAGGUGCCGUCUAUUUCGCGACGUCAUAGGUGACUCGACGUCACAUCCGCGCAUCUGCGACAAAUAAUGCAUCGACCGCAUCCAGUGCUAUAUCCACAAUAGUGAACAGUGAAUUUGCAUGAGUUGACCGUCGCGACAUAGACAGUGCCUAUAAGUUUGCAAUUGAAUCCAGUCUGAACGUGAUCUCCUUGCAUCAAAUGACUUAAGAAUGUAAUCAACGCUGCGAGCCUUUCAAGGACAACCCUAAAAGAUACAACUAUCGAGCCAGUUGCAUGUAUGCCGGUGUAGUGAACUUAAUUAUUAUUGUAUAAUAAUCAUUUAAUAGUGAACUGUGUUCUGUAUUAUUUCCUUUAGUUAUUAGUUAUAUACAGUUCAUACAAAUAUAACAACAGAUGCUGCAAUGUGUGCUCGAUAGUUAUUUCAGUUGAUCCUGUGAAUAAUUAGUUUAUUAUUAACGCUAAAGUGAAUUUGUUUUGCUAUUUACUAAUACUUGUUAGUUUGGAAUAAGUAUUUAAAAUAGGCAAAUCUCCAUGAUUUCCUGAUUCAUAAUUAGCGGUCAAGCGAAUCAACUAUUCCGUGACCUUUUCAAAUUAUAAUAAUUUCAACACACGACGCGCGUACAAAAGCAUCAAA